UGAAAUUAGAAUCAACCACUAUUAUUACACAACAUCUCUUACCAAAUCAGAUCAUCUUCGAUAAGAAGAAUCAUUGUCAACUAUUCCAGCUAUGACUUACAUCUGAAUCUCAAUAGCACAACUCGAGCUAGCAUCAACCUUAUCAAUCUUCCUGGACACUUCUCGACCACUGGAUCCUUAACACCUCUGACUCCUCGCCUAGCCUUAACUUUACUCGCAAUCAUAGACUAGCCAUUUAUCUUUAAUCCUUUCUGAAAUGGUUAAAAGAGAAUAGCAAGAGUGAGCAACAAUGCUCAGCAAGUAAUAAUAACAAUGAAAGUUCUGAAGUGAUAUAGCAGAAAUUCUCGAGUUCAAGAUAUAAAAAGAUUCAACCUGAGUUCACAAAUUCAGGUAUUGUAUAAAAGAAUCACAAUACCUUGCAGCAAUAGAAACCUGAGGAAUUCAAUCCUUCACAAGAGAAUUAUUGAAUUGGACUAUCACAUUUUAAUUAAAAACCAAGGUUAGGAUGCUGAUCAGUCAUACCUAACCCCGAGCAGGCCCCGCCAUGCUCUAUCACUGGAUCCAAGGCACUCAUUGGCCUAACAUGACCACUCAUCUGGUCUGACCACUCAUCUGGUCCACAUGUUUAUAUAAAAACAAUAAUCCAAUUCUCUAAUUCAAUUCAAGAAGCCAAUGUAAAUCAACAGAACAUCAUCAUAAAUAUCAUCAACAACAGAAUAAUUCCAAAUCAAACUUUGAUAAUAAUCUAUUCAUAAAUUAUGAUCCAUCAUUUCAUAAAUCACAGUUCAGGAAAUCCUCAACUAUUCAGUAUCCUCCAUUAUCGGCUAAGCAACUGAAUUUAGCCUGCUAAACCAGCAUGACAAUGGCGGGUUGAAUAAUCAAGAAGAUCCCAAUUCAUUCAAAGCUCUAACUAUCACUGAGCAACACAUGCUUCAAUGACAAUCUGAACUUCGAAUUAAUUUGUAAAACGGAAAUUCUUUAGAAACUUGAAGAUUAGAAAGAAUGGGUCAGAAUACUCGCACUUUCGAACAUUGAAAAGAAAGGUAUGAAUACUUGAAACAUAUACCAAAGGAAUGGAUCAGAAUAUUUGCAAUAUAUCCAAGAGAAAGGUUUAGGAUACUUGCCUUAAAUCUGACUCCCGUCUCACAGCUCAUUCUCAUCUUUCCACUUUCACAAUCUAUGCAUCUCAUAAUCUCUAGACCAUCUCUAGCUAUACUCUAUUCGCCACAUCGCUUCGCUUACUCGAUUCAUCCCUUAUUCGCUUUGCAAUACCAUUCCGACUUUCUGACGUCUUCGAACGUACACGUCUCGUCCAAAUCCUUUACGAGAAUAAGAUAAUACUAUAGUCACUAAACAAUAUAUCGCAUAUACAUAUCACGUAUAUCGAUACCCACUUAUAUACCCCUUUAAACUUAUCACAUACCACAUAACACAUAAGCAUGCUUUGACUCUACCAUAUAGUCAAGUCAUAUUCCACAUAACAUAUUACAAAUCAAUACUCAUAUAAAUCCUAUCGAAAAUCCGACGUCGUCUCGUCUAUUUAUUAGACUAUCCACCUGUUAUCUUAUCUCAACCAACAACCAAUUCCCAAUUGUAUAAUCCAUAUAUUAUUAUCCCCUAUCAAUCAGGACACAACACCAUGUCAUACAAAUCACUUAUCACAUUUAUAAUAUCAUAAAUAAACACGUACUUCACGUAACCAUCAAUUUAUAGCAAUUAGAUCACAUAUAAUCACAUUUUACUUAUUUAACAACACAUAAUCACAUACUUGACUCAAUCAUAUUAUUAUGUCAUAUUAAAAUAGGCUUUAUAAACUUUCAUCUCUCUUUCGUUUCACUCGAUUCCGACUUACGGAUCAAAAGAUAUGUUUAAAACCGUUUUCUCACUCUUAUAUCGACACAUAAGACAUCCAACCAAUAGCAGACAACACAUUACACAUAAGGUUUCCCACCCCAAUAGAGGUCAAAUCAAAUCUUGAGUUCAAAAUGAUUUUUCGGGAAUUUUCUGUAAUUUUUAAACAUUUUUCGGAAUUAAAAUCGAUAAAAGAAUCACUUUUCAAAACGACGAGAAAAACAUGUACUACAACAUGGAAUCAUCAAAACAAUCAAACAAACACGUUUGCAAAAAUCCACUAUUUAAAUCUUAAUAAUUCGAAUUUUAAAACUUCAAUUACUCCCUACCUGUGAAUCUCAUGUUGUUUUUGAUUGCAGAUAUAGAUUCUACUCUUUGAUAUCUUCGAUUUGACUAUUCGCACGCUUGAUUCUGACUCCAAUAACGCCUUCAAAUCCACGUUUGAUUAUGAAGAACACGAAGAACACCGCUCGGUUUCUCUCGGUAUUCGUGCAGAGAAACUGGUGAAAUGAUUUUACGGGUGAAAAUCAGCUCUAGAAAAGUCUAUUUAUAUUUACAAAUAAUUGGUACCCCUUUGGAUCGUUUAUGACAUGAAAAUACGUAUUUAAUAGCUUUAUAUUAAUAAAGCGGGGUCCAAUCGGUACUGGUUUUCAAGAUAAUCAUCAAAACGGGGCUUUUUAACUCAAUUAUUGGUCUGCGGGUCCCAUUGCAAUUAUUACAAGAUAAGGAUGAAUCAAAAUAUCUAGUUUCACGUUUAUCGAGACAACCAGAUAAUUAUCAACAAUUAAAAUACCCGAAAAACUCCGCCGGACCGACUCCGGGGAAAACCGUACUCCGGAUCGAAAAAGUCAAAACACGAAAAAUGUCCGGAAUAUUCAAAUUAGACUAAAGGUGAGUUUUCUCGAAACUUUCGGGAAGAAAAAUCGCUAAGCCGUUACGAGUGAACGGUUUUCAAAUAAUCAAAUAAUCAAUAAUUAAAUAUAAAUAUACGCAAUUAAAUCCGUAAAUCAAUUAUAAAAUCAUCUAACAUUCCAUAAAUCGAUAUGAAAAUAUCCAAAUAAACUAUAUUUUCUCCUGAGCAUAUAGAAAUUGAAAUCUCUCAAAUACGAACACAUAUGAGCAGUUAACGCAAUAAACCAGAUAAUAUAAAAUUCACAAAAUCAUAUAUUAAUCAUAUAAUACUCAUAAUUAACCAUAAUUAAUUAACCAACAAAUCCACCAAUACCACUUACUCACAUCACACAUAUAUUCACAUAAUAAUCAUCUAAAAUUUUCAAAACAAUAUAUGAAAAUCGGUUUUAAAAAUACAAUUAUUUAUCAAUAACACAAUAACCCGGGGUUUAAAUAUAAAACCUUGAAAACUCAUUAAACUGGAAUAAAAUAUUAAAUCUUAUUCCCUUCUUUAAAGAAAAAUCACUUUUAAUACUAAUAAAAUAUUUUUAAAAAUCCGGGUCAUUACAAUCUACCCUCCUUAUAGGGAUUCCGUCCUCGGAAUCAGAGAAAGAAGGAGGACACAUAAUUUGUAAAAUCCAUAUUAAUCCACAGAACAAGUAUAAUCAUAUAAAACUAUUCACAUAAUCAAUUCACUUUUCAACAAAAGCAAACAAUAAUAUUUAGACAGAUAGAUUUAUAAUAAUCAAAUCUAAAUUUGAUAAUAUGGGAUAUUACAUUCUACCCCCCUUAUAAGGAUUCCGUCCUCGGAAUCCCCCGAAGAAAACUAAAACGUACACGCUUCGUAAUAUCAUAUCGGCAUCCACCUUUUGAUCAACCUUGGCAUACCUUUAGCUUUUAAAAAUACAGGAGAAUCAAAACUUUCACAAUUGCCAAAUUCGUUUUCCCAAGAAUCAAUCUUUGGGAAUUUUGGAGGAACAAGAUGCUUUCAAAGUAGGUCACAAUGGAAUACAAGAGUGACUGGGAGAUCAAUACGAUCAAAUGAACUUAAUGUUGCGUGUCCAUAUUAGACACUACUAAAGGUUGUUAACCUUCUUGUAAUCACAACACACACAAGUGAUGGCGUCCCAUCCAACUCCUAUCACACAGACAGGUAUACCUUGUGUCCCCUAUACGUAGGGUUGUUCAUCCCAAUCAGAUGGAAGAAUCCAAGAAAUCUCAAGGAGCAUCAAAGAAUGUUAAGGAUUAUCGAGGAAUAUAUUAAGGAAUAUCGAAAAGAUAUCAAGGAAUAUCAAAGAGUGUCAAAGAAUAUCAACGAAUAUUAAGAGAUAUCAAAGAAUAUCAAAUAAUAUCAAGGAAUUCCACUGUCUCUUCAUAUACACGCCUUUAUUAUACACCGAUUCAAUACCAACUCACACCAAUAAUCAAUAUCAUCAUCAUCUUAGAAUUUGAGAAAUGAAGAUCUCAUUUAUCAAAACUUUCGUAGAAAAGAUAUCAUGAUAAUAUCUCACUGAUGAGAAAACAAUCAAAAGAAUCUUUAGUUGAAGAGAGGUAUUGCCAAGGUCUUCUCAGAUUUUCGCUCUGCUUCAAUAAAUCAUUGUUCGAUAUAUAUCCUCUUUUCAACGUUCUCGAUAAUCGAUCGAUGUUGACUCGUAAUAGCCUCGUAAGAUGUCAUCGUAGACGUUAUAGUUCGUAAUAAAUCUGGCCCAAGUAGUUCACGUUCUCAUGUUUCAUCCAGUUACCUUUGAAUUCCAUAGCACAACACGUAGCGUAUCUUCUAUUUUCUGACUCGUCAACCUGUGGGUUAUGGGCCCACCUUGAUGCCAUUUGAAAUCCCGAUUAGCUCGAAGCGUUGUCGUCGAGGACUAACGUUCUAACUUACUCGUAGACAUCAUCUCUAAUAACUGGACUCAACUCCACAUACUCUCUAUCAUGCACUUCUCAUCUAUCAACCUCUAUCUACUAAUCUCUCCUUCUAAUUCAACACAACUCAUAUUCUACACUAACUCUUCAUAUCUCACAAAAACAACAUACCUCUUCCAAAUAUCUAACAUGGUCAUACUAUGAACCAUGCAUUUAUAUCAUCCUCAAAUCAAUAUGAUAAUCCGGUUUCAAAUAUGCAGUAUAGUCAGAAUACUCUGAACUCUGCAUUUUCACCAUUCUCAACUCAAUCAUUCACUAUCAAACUCUUCUAUAUAGGUCUAAUACUGACCUUUCCCACAAUUCACCAUCUCAAUUAAUCAACAUACUAGAAAUCAUAUGUCUAAACUUAAGAAUCCUAAUCUCUUUAGAUAUCCACACUUAACUUGAUCAUCUAACUAAACUCUAUGCUUCACUCACAUCUCUAGACUAUUCCUAAAUAGUCCGACCAUACCUCUAUGUGAGGUUACACCACAUUCUUCUCUAGAAAACCUAUAACUAUGAUCUAUAUUCUAAUUUCAAAUACUUAUAACCUGUUGCUCUGAUACCAACUGUGACAGUCCGAGAAUCCGGGGGUCUGGAUUCUGACGUCACCACAUAAAACCCAUUUUUAAACACUUUUGAAAACCUGUAUUUUUUUUUUUUUAAGAUAAUGAAUCCAAAUAAUUUAAAACUUGAAAACAUUUAAUAAAAGAUUUGAAAGACGUUAAAUAAAAGAUUUAAAAGAGAACAUCUUCACCCCCAAAACAACAGGAUCGCUUCCAGGUUACAGUAUUGAAAUUAGAAUCAACCACUAUUAUUACACAACAUCUCUUACCAAAUCAGAUCAUCUUCGAUAAGAAGAAUCACUGUCAACUAUUCCAGCUAUGACUUACACUUGAAUCUCUAU
rnacentral:lncRNA from 1 species